rnacentral:rRNA from 1 species
AACCUUCCCAAUGCACGAAAGUGUGAGGGCGGGAACCCUGAGUGAUUUCGGUUAAACCGGAAUCUUUUCUGGAGUGUAAACAGCUCGAGGAAUAAGCGGUGGGCAAGACGGUUGCCAGCCGCCGCGGUAAUAACCGCGCCGCAAGUGGUAGUCACGAUUAUUGGGUCUAAAGCAUCCGUAGCUGGUUUGGUAAGUCUUUGGUGAAAUCCUGCAGCAAACUGUAGGGCGUGCCAGAGAUACUACCAGACUUGAGGCAGGAAGAGGUUGAGGGUACUUCACGGGUA